rnacentral:lncRNA from 1 species
GGCCAGAGAACCCAGUAAAGAUGACUUGGAUUCUCAGUGCCUGUGAAGUGUCUCCUUUCAGUCCUAAAGUCUGGAUCUGGGGAGUAAGCCUCAGGAAGGCAGUUAGGCCAGCUCACUUCAAAGAAGACCCUAAAAAAAUGUCGCAGUGCGGACAUUCCUAGGUCGAAGUCGAGAGGCUGAGGGGAGGGGUGCGCCUGCGCCUUGGAGCCAUCGCGGUUUUUCCUUGCACUUCUGCGGCGACGACGGCAGCAGCGGCAGCACAGCCUUCUUCUCCUGAUCCUCCUCUCCGUUCUCCGGCUGCUUUUCUGCCUACGUCGGUUCCGAGUGCUUAUACCUUCCACAAUCCUUCGGCCUGCGCGGCCCAUGUGUCCGCCUCUUCGUCUGGACUGGAUGUGGACGCUCCGGGCGGGGUGGGGCGGGGGUGUCGAGCCGGAGCCGCGCCCGGGAGAGCCAGCGAGGCCGAGCCGGAGGCUCGGUGGGCGUUAGACGGUGGAGUGGGGCUGCGGUUACCAUGGCAACGGCCGUUGGCACCCCCACCCCCACCCCCGCUCCCGGGCUGCGUUCUCUCCCGCCUCCCUUUUCUCUUCUUCGAUGCCGCGCCUCGGGAAUAUAGUGGAAGCGACUCCCGCCACCGUGUGACAUUAAAACCAAAACCAAAAACAAAACCCAGCCCAAAACGAAAGCACCGCCACCCGACCCGAGAACCUUAAGCUUCCUCGACCUUGGCUCUUGCACCCGCGCCCCCGAGUGCACACUGGGCCCCGGAGGGGAAGCCGGCUCCGCCCGAGUUUCCCUCCUCCCUCCGCAGCUGCUUCACAAAGAAGGGGUGGCAUCGGGCGUGCGCCCUUGCAGGUGGUCCUCCCGAGGCGCCCGGAGCUAUUAGCACCACCUCCCCCCUCCCCCAAACAAGCUGCCCACCCCAGAAAAGUAGGACUUGGUUCUGGAAGAAAGCAAAAGUCAUCAUUUCUAAAAGCUUGACACGCCAUUUCCAAUUCGGUAUUUUGCGAGGCUGUUGGCCAUGACCUUGCUCUGAAGUGUCCUGGCGGGUGCUAGCAGGCCCAUAGGGGUGUCUCUGUGUGUGUGUGUGUGUGUACGCGCGCGUGCACCAUGCUGAGGUCAUCUUAGGUCAUCCUACGGGCCUUAGUCAUUCCGCAGCCGCUAACGGGGCAGGGUACUUUUCUGGUUGGAGGUACCAGAUCCUUGUAGGGAGCUCGGGUCGUAAAAGGAAGUUUGAAGCACAAAGAAGCAACGUUCUUCUCUGUUAAUGUAGCUAUAAUAGAAGCAUGUGGCAAGGUUCACCGUCUUAAGUAUUUUUGUCGUGAAUUAAUCUUGCAGAAACUAUAGGGGUCUCUGCCAAAUUGCAACUGUAAUAAAGUUGACAAGAGAGGGACAAAUCUUAGAACGCUACUUGCCAAUAUCCUUAAGUAGGAAGCGUUUACAUGAGUGUUUCUUAGUGUUAAUGGCUGAAAACUAGGUUUUUGAGGGAAAUUUAGCGCAUUGAGGUUAAAAACUAUAAAGAGGGGAAGAAAAUUCGGUUUUAAAAUCAUUUUGUGUCGAAGCAGAGCCACAAAGCAUUUUUUUUUUCAAUGUGGAAUUUGUAAAUCAAAGGGUAUGUUCCAGAAUUUUAUUUUCUUUUUAAACUCAAGUAGGUUUUGAGGCUGGGGGAGAUAACAAAGAAAUUUUCCAGUGAACAGAUAAGGCAGAUAAAGCUCUGUUUUAGAAAUUUUGGAAUUUAGGCUGCUCGACAGGUUUGUUUGUUGUUUUCCCUUUUUCUGGAGAAAAAGUCAUUCUGAUGGUAAUUCAGCAUUUGUUAUGUAAAAUGUGCGUAUUCUCUUAAGGCAGUCUUUUCUUCCUUAAUUUUGAAGUAUUCUUUGAAAGUCAUAUUCUAACUGUCUUUUUACGUCUAUAUGUAUUUAAUACGUUAGCCAUCAAUACUGGAAUUGAAUUCUUCUUAGGCAUAAAAUAAAAUGUUAUUGUUUAACUCAAAAGUGCUUCCUUUCUACCUGGUUUCUAAAUAGAGGCGUGGCGAUUUUCUUUUAUGUUUGGGAGGUUCCAGGUUUCUAACAGUGGAAUAUUACAAACGUUAGUAAUACUAUCUCAACGUGACCAUUGACUACCAUUAAAAUUUGUUUUUAAUUAUCAAAAACUGGGGACUGUUAAUGGAAUAUAUCCAGGGUUUUUUUUUUUUUUUUUUUUUUGCCUGUGUUUUCCAGUGCCUAAUAUAGUGUUUAACAAAUGGUAUUAACUUAUUAAAUGCUUCUUGAAUUGAAAUGUUGAACCUUUUAAUUUCUUGCUUUCAAAGGAAAUGCUUUUUAUAGCAUAACCAUUUUUUCUGCUUAAAUUCUUACCUUCAAUCUUUUGCUGAACCUGUGAUUAUAGACAUCACAAAGGUGCUUUAGAUACUUGGUUUCUGGGUCUGUUAAAUAUCUGUAAGCCUUAGCCCAGGUUAUUAUGUGAUGUAUUUUAUUUAGAAUGAAUAAUAUUGAGAUUCCAUUAUAUUCAGUGAGGUGCAUUUCUCUAAAUUCAUAGGUAGUCACUAAAUAAAAAAUUUUGUUUACUUUUGCAGUAGUUUAAAGAGUUUAUUUUAGCCUCUUUAGACCAUGAGGGGAUGAGGCCUCAAUAUGAUAUGAUGAUGUGAGGAUCUUUGCUGCAAAGGUUAAUUAUUGGGUGAGUUUUGGAGGUAGUAUAUUUCCUAUUUUGGAAUUAGUACUUGUCUUAGGUGAAUUCUUCAAAUGAACCACUUAUAUCUCAUGCAUUUGUGAAUUAGGCAAAUAUAUUUGAGAGGGUGAGAGAAUUUGAACUAAGUGAUUGCUGAAAGAAUCUCCAUCAACUGACUUGAAAUGUCAAUCAUUAAUACUGGGUAUCAGCUACAGUGGCAUUAUUUUCCAAAAUGUAAGGGACAGAUUAUUUUAGUGGUCUGGAAAAAUGCUAGAAGCAUAAGAAUUCAUUUUAAAAAAUUAAAUCAGUUACUCUUUUUGCCCCCUCCUUAAAGAAACUCCAAUGUAAUUUUCCAGCUUUCUUGGAAGGAUGAAUGGUUUAAAUUAAUUUACAAAAUGGCUUCAGGGCAUCUGUAGAUCAUCUGAUGAAAAAAAUCUUUCUAGGUAUUAGAGGGAGAUUUAGCAAUUUAUUUAUAGAUCAAAGGACCACAGAUAUGAGAUUUAGAGCUGGAAGAAGAACCUUAGAAGAAAUAAUCUCUGAAACCCCAUUUUAUAGAUGCAGAAACGGAAGAUUAGAGGAGUUUAGGGAUUUGUCUAAGAUUACAUAGGUAGUAUUUGGCAGAUGCAGCAUUUGAACCCAGAUUUCUUUAUAUUAUGCCAUUGUGCAUAAUGCCACCUGGAUCAGCCUUCUGUUAUGAGUACUAAUCUGUUGAAUUAAUGAGUGAAAUUCUCAUUUGAGUCCUUUGGAAAAUGGCAGUAAGUCAAAUAUCUUUCUAAACUCAUAGCUUCUGAUAGCUGACCUUAUUUGCUGUUCUUAAAUGAAUCUGCUUUAUAAAAGAUGUAGCAGGAGAAGAAAGAGUUUACAAUUACCAUUGAUUUAUGGCUACAAAGUGUUCUUAUACAAACAGGAAAAUUCUCGAGCUUUGACUAUUUGAAAGCUUUUUUUGAUAUGUGUUCUACUGUCUACAAUGGAAGGGAUGUUUGAUCUGGAGCCCUGAGUGUGAUUUCUGGCUCUGAUCUCUUAGAAGCAGGGUGAUCCUGAGUAAAUCACUGGACCUCUUUGUGACUUGGUUUUCAUAUCUGUAAAAUGGCAGUGACAAUAAUGUAAAAUCCACCUCACAAGAUUGAGGAAAGAAAACAUUGUAAACCUUAAAAAGCUAUGGAAAUGGGAAUGGAUAAUGUGGUUACAUCCAUAACAUUUAUAUGGCAUCAUUAGUUUGGGAAUUUAAAAAAAUGUAUACUGUGAAAAAAUUAAUUUCAGUACAUUAGAGUAGGAAAGAAGUUCAUUUAUGAAUGUAUUCUUAUAGAGGUGGGCAAUAUUUGUAUUCAUUUCAGCAAAUCUAUUUAAUUCCUUGUACUUAGGUACAUUACUGAAACUACCAAGACAAAAUGAACAUGAUCUUUGCCCUCAAAGACCUUUAAUUCUACUGGCGAUGGUUGUAAAAAUAUAAUUUGAGGAGAGAGUACUAACAACUAGGAAGGAGAAAACUAAUUGAACCUCGACAUUUUCAGAGGUGGAGUUGAGGAGGGGCUUAUUAAAUGUUUGGUCACUAUUCUGUAUCUUUGCUUAAGGAUGGAGGUAUUGAUUGUACCUUCUGGAGUAACUAACGUAGCAUAUCAUUCAAAUCACGAGUGGGAUGCCCAGAUGCUUUCACCAACUGUGCUUCCAUAUGCAUGAGUGAAUCUUCUGAGCAUGCUCAGAAUCCUUAAGCUAGUAAGCAUUCAGUGGGAAAAGAAGAGCUGAUUAAAAACAAGAAUUUUAGAAAUUUUCUUUUGCAAGUGGUUGUUUGAAUCUCACUUUCCUAAUCGUGCACAGUGCUCAAAUGAAGAACUAUACUUCACUGUCCAUUUAUUUUACAUUAAAGAGAUCACACAUCCUACUUCCUGACUUUUUGUUUUAAAGACAUCAAUUAUUUAUUCUUUAAGAUGAAUAUGAUAUUGUCAGAGAUAAACAAAAAGCAUAUUAUCUAUUUUUGUAUUUUUUAAAAAAAGGUUUAAUUCUUUUAAAGAAUUUUGCUCUUAUUAGAAGUCUUAGAAAAGAGAAAAGAUUUGGCCAUUUUCUCCUGAAACUUUGCCAAGUAGUCAGGAAUGAAUAAACACUUGGUUUGGGGCUUUGCAAAGUUCAUUGUAUAGAGUAGUUUUAAAGCUUUUUAAAGUUGUGAAAGUUAUCACAACAGGAAAGGCCAUCCCCAAAUAACAGGGCUUGAUUGCAUGCUUCAUAUUUCAGUCAUCACUGCACACUGAUUUGAAUUGGCCUUUUGAUAAUGAAAGUGUUUAGACAUAUAAGUGGGUAUAUACUUUGCUUUUACUUUAUAUUUCAAUUAAUUGCAUUUGUUUUUAAUAAGAUUGAAGGUGUUUUUGUUUUCUCUCUAUUAUUUCUCAAAGUUUAAUGAAAAGUUGUAUUUAUUACCCAGUAGAAUGCUAUACUUAUAUAUGCUAUACAGAAAAAUGCUAUACUUAAUGCAUUAACUUUUUAUAAAAUUGUAUUGAAGUCUCUUGCUUCUUGCAUCAUCUUAUUUAUCCCUCCCCUUUCCAGAGAACCAUCUCAAGUGACAAGUGGUAUUUUUAAAAAGGAGUGGGGAGAGAACACGAUUGAUCCAUGGGAAGAGUUUGGAAAAUGUGCACUAUGUUACAUAUGUGGACUUCCCACCUCCAUAAAAGAUAUGUUGGAAGUGUCGCCUUGUAUCAAUUCAUUUGGCUCCUGCUUGAGCUUUAUAAUUUUGUUACACUCACUUUUGAUUUUUUGACAUGUUGUUCUUUCCAUUUACAUUAUGGUAAUCAUUAUGUAUAUUGUUUUCUUGGCUCUAUUUCUGUCUGCAUCAGUUCAUAUAGCUCUUUCCAUGCUUUUCUAUAAUUUAAGACAAACAUUUCUUACAGUGCAGUAAUAUUCCAUUACAUUCUAUACCACAGUUUAUUUAGCUAUUCCCUGGUAGAUGAGUAUCUACUUUGUUUCCAUAUUUUUGCUACCAUAAAACCUAUGCAGCAUUAACGUUUUAAAAGAAACAUAUACUUUUCUCCAGAAUUGUAAGUUAUUCCAAGGCCAGCAUAAUGUAAAGUGCAAUUUUUCUCUCCAGUAAAUUAAUUUGGAUUAAGCGGUUUACUGUUCUAUCAAAGGGGCACCUUUUUGUUCUCAGAAACAGUAAGCUAUUGUUUUACUCAGUCCAGUAACAUGAAAAUACAUCGGUUUAGACUCAUAUCCUUUGACAACAUAAGCUGAGAAUUAUUUCAAUAAUCCUAAAUUGAGAAACAUGUAGAUUUGGUUUUUUAAAAUGAACAUUUUGUUUCUAUAGCUAUUUUUAGAGUUCACUGAAAAGGAGAUUUUUCUGAUAAGGAUACCAGUUUGUUUAAUAACUGAGGUUUCGAAAAGAGUUUUGUUUAUUUUAAAUUUAAGCCAUUAAACAGAUUCCUUUUAAUUGAUGAACUUUUAUUUAUACCAAAGAUGGUUUGUUGUCCUCAUUUGACACUUGACUGUCUUAUUAUCCCCU